UUAAGUUCAGCGGGUAGUCCUACCUGAUUUGAGGUCAAAAUUGUCAUUUGUAUUGUCCAAUUAAAGGACCAUUAGAAGCGGCAGCUAACCCAUACGAGAGCAGAAAACCAACCAGCGUAGAUAAUUAUCACACCGGGGCAAUUCCACUAGGGGCACCAGCUAAUGCAUUUCAGGGGAGCCGACCUCGUUAGAAGCCCGCA
rnacentral:misc_RNA from 1 species